rfam:Brugia malayi, FR3, WGS project CAPY01000000 data, contig: ctg1512148
GGCUCUAUGGCCUAAUGGACAAGGCGUCGUUCUUCUAAAGCGAGGACUGCAGUUCGAGACCUAGCAGGGCUG